CUUAAUAAAUAUUUGUUGCCUUAAUGAAACAUACUAUUUUAUUCAGGCUGAGGAAUCAUUCAUAAUUUCUCCCCAUGUCCCUAUGCUUCAGUAAUACGGUUUUUUUUUUAAUCAAAAUAAUUUUUUAAAGAGGAAAAGGAGAAAGAAUAUCCUAUCUUCAGUUCCCCUCACUGUGGGACUUUGGAUCAGUCACUUGAUCUCUCUGGGCUUCAAUGUUCUUAUCUGAAAAAUUGAGAGAACAGCAUGUACCUUACACAGUUUGUAAGGUUAGGUAAUAUACAUAAAGCACAGAGAAAAUCCUCCCCAAAUGUUAGUGAAUAACAGAAGUAUUUACUAUUUACCAUUUUAAAGUACUUACCAUAUAAUAUUAAACACUUAAUAAAUGUAUGGGACUCAAAACCA
rnacentral:lncRNA from 1 species